UUUCUUCCUCGUGCAGCUAAUGCAGACAUCCUCCUUUGUUUUGCAACUGAAACCCCAAAUUCUAUCAUAAAAAACUUUCAAUUUUCAAAAUCCAUUAGUAACAAUUCUCUAUGAUUAGGCUCAACACUAGCUUGGCAUCUGAUCAAACUUCUAUUACAAGGAAGGGGUAGAGUUGAUUCAAGAUUUGAAAUUCGAAAAUCAAGAUAACUCCUGAUGGGGAGUUCCUUAUUGUGUCAGGUAUAUAUCCUCCACAAGUGAAAGUAUAUCAACUUAGGCAAUUUUCAAUGAAGUUUGAGAGGCGCCUGAAUUCGGAAAUAAUCGAUUUUCAGGAUGGGAAGGGAUAUUACAUAUGAUUGCUGGUCCUGUGACUUGCUUUGUGCUGCUUCGUCUCCAGAUCUAUACAAAAUUAAUUUAGAACAGUGCUGAUUCAUGACUUACGGCUUCAUCACCUAUCCAAGCUAAGGAUCACAUUUUGGUUCAUCCAUUGGUACAAGCUUUAUCGAACAAGUACAUCAUGUUAAUGGAGAAGGUAUGACCAGCAUUGAACCAGCAGCCGGAACAAUCAUUGAUAUCCGUGUGUUGAAAGAGAGUGGGCUGAUGGUACUGGCUUUGGACGGUAGCCAGAUACCUGCUUAUUUCAUACGUGCUUUGGGACCUUUUCCCAAGUGGUGUUCUUCGUUGGAUCUUUGUUGGAAUCUCUAAUGAGCUUGAGGAGGGUGGACUAUCAAGCAUAUAUGACAAUUAUAAAUUUCUAAUAAAAGAGGAUCUUGAGAAGUUGAAUUUGACAAAUCUAAUUGGGACCAAUCUUCUGCGAGCCUACAUGCGUGGGUUCUUUAUUGACUAUCGGUUGUAAAAAAAGGCACAAGCAUUGGCAGAUCCUUUUGCUUAUGAAACGUACUUAGAGCAGCAAAAACAAGAGAAACUGGAGGCUGAACACUGCAAUCUUAUUAUGAUUAAGAGGAAACUACCAAAGGUUAAGGUCAAUCAAAAUCUUGCAGAGCGGAACUUGGAGAAUGAAGAAGCUGAAAAUGAAAAGAAAGCACUGAUGAUAAUGAAACUAAGAAGACUUAAAAGAAGAAGAAGAAGAAAGGUGCACUUAGCACUGAUAUAUUUAAAUAUGAUUGAUUUGCCCAAAUGUUUGAAAACAAGGUAAAUAAUCUGUUCAUCUAGUCAUGCUACUAGUAGUUUUCAGUUUAAUCUUCACUUUUUUCUCCAGUUUUCUUGUUUUUUUAAUUUUUUAUUGUCACAUGUUUGUGAUUGUCAACUCAAAUUACCAUGGUAAUUGUUAUCCCCGUUGAAAAGUAGUUGCAGGAUCAAGAACUGUGGCUGAGUAUUUUUAAUUGACAAUGUAUCUAAGAAUGGAGAUAAAUAUGGUAGGCCAUCUUAAUUUUAAGUUGUCGAAAAUCAGCAUGAGGAAAGAAAAGGUUAAU